GUAUGAAGUAUUUGUACAAAUGCCAAAUAGAUCUAUGUGAUUGAUAAUGGUUUUGGUAAAUUCCUAGGGUGGCCAUGUCUAAAUACCAGCUUUCAUGGGUUGAAGUAAUGCAAGUGUACUAUCUUAGAGCUCUAUUCCCUAGAAAUCCCACAUUGACCUGUUAGCAGAAACAAGCUACUUUUGAAAACUUUAAGGAAGGAUUUUUCCUGCCCAUUCCUAACUGUUACUGAUUUGUUGGCCAUUCUUGAUCUGCUUGGUUUUCAACUGCAGCACUUUACGCUCUGCUUGCAUCAUUACAUGGCAUUAGUCUCUCAUGAAUGUGACCCAUCUUCAUAAGAACAGAUGCCCUAGUUGGGGAAUGGGUCCACCCUGUUCAAAGAGGAUACUUUUAAUUGCUAAGAUCACAAUGACUCUCAUUUCAAACUCAGUAAAAUUUGGAGGUACUGUUUAAGUUCUAACUUAACCAUGUUUAGAACUUAAACAUGUAUUUGCCUGGAAGUAAUUUGACCCAUAACAGAAAUGAUUGAUUCACAAGUAUACUUUUUCUUUACUUCCUGAUGGAUCUGUCAAGUGUUAUAAAUGAAUGCUGAAACCUUCUAGUGUAAGAGUAGAAUAAUUUCUCAUUGUAGUUUCAUCAAUUUUUUGUCUAUUUUGUUUUUUUUUCCUUGUAUGCUCCUUCUCUUGCCAUUUAGUAACAAUCAUGUUCCUGCAGUAAUUGAGCCUGUGUGUUUUAAACAACCAUCUCCAUACACUUUAGACCCAUGUCCACAGUUAGGAAGCCCCUGGAGUGUUUCUUCAGCAAACCAAUAUACUGACAGUUACUCUAUAUUUCCCUAGAUUGCUAUAAAGUCAUAAUGGAGGUGGUAUCCAUUGAUUUGGGAGGAGACCAACAAAAUUAUAUUGCUGAGGUAGCCUCUGCAACAAAUGAGGAAAUUCCCCCAAAUGGCAUGGUGGAGUUCAUUCCUGAAGAAAGCAUGAGUCGAGAGACCCCAUCAAAAGCCAUUGCCACAUCAUCACCAUCAAGGCCAUGGUCCACAGAGAAAAUAUAGGAAGCGAUUUAGAGGAUGAGGAGGAGGAAAAAAGGACCAGAAAUCUGCAAGUAAUUGAUUUUCUAUUGGUUUCUCUUAAUUAUUCUUUCUUAUGGAAAGGCUGUAGAUUUUCCAUGUUUCAUCUUUCCCACAUUUUAUAACUUUUCUAAAGGUAUUUUCCUCAUCCAGAUCUUUGAGGUCCUUGGACCUUCAAUGUCUGUUAAAUCUCUCUGCACUAACAUUCUUAGUCAUUCCCUGUUUUUUUUUUUUCACCACAGGCAACAGCACUUAAUUAUGCUGAGCAAUACUGCAUACCCAUACACUGAGUCUGAGUUGUAGGGAGCAUCAGAAACACUGAGUUGUUGCCUGAUGCAUGAGACACAAACAAUAUGGUUCUGUUUUACUGACCACUGAAUAGCUGGGUUUUUCUGCCUUUGCUGGC